GUGAUUAGCACUUUCACCUUGCAGCAAGAAGAUCCCUGGUUCGAAUCCCGGUCUGGGCCUGGGAUCUUUCUGCAUGGAGUUUGCAUGUUCUCCCUGAGCAUGCGUGGGUUUUCUCCGGGCACUCCGGCUUCCUCCCACAGUCCAAAAACAUGCUGAGGUUAAUUGGUUACUCUAAAUUGUCCGUAGGUGUGAAUGUGAGUGUGAUUGUUCGUCUGUAUAUGUAGCCCUGUGACAGACUGGUGACCUGUCCAGGGUGUCCCCUGCCUUCGCCCGAUUCACCUGGGAUAGGCUCCAGCACCCCCCGCGACCCUAGUGAGGAUAAAGUGGUGUACAGAGAAUGGAUGGAUGGAUGGAUGGAUGGAUGGCUGUACACUGGGUUGGUGGUUAGUACAAUGGCCUCGUAGCUACAAGAUCCCCAGGUCAGGUCCCUUCCACAUAUAGUUUGCAUGUUCUCCCUGUUGUGUACUACUGUAUACCCUACUGUAUAUGCAUGCUCUGAUCUUCUCCCAUAUCUCAUCCUGUCUGACAGUUUGGGCUCAAGCAGCCCCAUCUACAAUAAAACACAUAAGAUCAUCAUACAAUCAAGCUCUGAAAAUUAUGGAUAAAAAAACAAUUCGAUGGCAUCAUCGUCUCAUUUUUUUUAAAUACAAUUUUUUGAGUGUUGAAAGCUUCAUAGAUCUUUGUUUCAUCAAAUUCAUCUUUAAAUGCCUCAGUAAAUCAGCGCCACAGCCACUCUGUGGAUUCAUCCAAAGACAUGACAGCAGAAGAGUCACCAGAAGCUCCACCAACAACAACCGCUAAAUACCGUACCGCAGAACUACAUUUAGACAGAGGCAGCCUUUUCAAUCAAAGGCUGUCACAUCUGGAACACAUUACCAAACGAAAUUAAUCAGAUAGCUGAUUUCAAAACUUUUACAGCAAAAAGUGAAGUAUUGGCUGAAAGAAAAACAAGAAUGUACCCAACUAUGACAUCUAUAAGGUCUGACUGACUGUGGAUCAUGUCAUUGUGCGUGUUUGUGUGUGUGGGUGGACGGGGGUUAUAGGUUUUUAAUGUUGUCUGUGCUGUUUUCAUUUGUGUUGUUGGUCCUUUGACUACUUUUACUUAAAAGCCCAACCAGGGACAGGAGUUGAAAAUUAGCUGAAUGCUAUACACUCUAUAUGUAAUGCAUCAGUUCUAUGUGUUCUAUGACAAUUGGUCCCUGAUCAAAUAAAUGAAUAAAUAAAAUAAAUGAAGAUGGAUCGAUGGA